rnacentral:rRNA from 1 species
AGCAGCCGCGGUAAUUCCAGCUCCAAUAGCGUAUAUUAAAGUUGUUGCAGUUAAAAAGCUCGUAGUUGAAUUUCGGGAUUGGCGCAUCGGUCGUGCCUCACGGGGUAUGAACUGGUGCAGUCAAUUUCUCACCUUCUGGAGAACCGCGAUGUCCUUAAUUGGAUGCCGCGGGGAACCAGGACCUUUACUUUGAAAAAUUAGAGUGUUUAAAGCAGGCAUUUUUGCUUGAAUACAUUAGCAUGGAAUAAUAAAAUAGGACGGCAUGGUUCUAUUUUGUUGGUUUCUAGGACCACCGUAAUGAUUAAUAGGGAUAGUUGGGGGCAUUAGUAUUCAAUUGUCAGAGGUGAAAUUCUUGGAUUUAUUGAAGACUAACUACUGCGAAAGCAUUUGCCAAGGAUGUUUUCAUUAAUCAAGAACGAAAGUUAGGGGAUCGAAGACGAUCAGAUACCGUCGUAGUCUUAACCAUAAAACUAUGCCGACUAGGAAUCAGACGAUGUUAAUUUUAA